GUUGUGCAUAUCGCCAGGAUUUGAGUAUUCAGAAGCCCAUAAAUAGAGGCACUAUUUGAACUCAAUAUUGUCAUGGUUUACAGUCAGGGAACUAUCAUGGAUGAAAUGGUGCCAAUACACCGAAUUAACAAGUUCAGGCACAAACUGAAAGAAUGCUUCAUCUAGCGAUUGCAUGUUUCCCUUCUCGAUGCUAGCGGCCGUCAACACCGAAGACCAGCAAGAUGGACAGGACGUCAAUCCCGGAGGACACGAUCGACUACGUGAAGGAGCUGUUGGAGAGGAUACAACGGCUGCAGUUGGAGUUAUAGGAGUCACGCUGCUGUGGGUAUGGCUGCCGAGUGUGUUCCAGCAGCAGAACCCCAACGAGAUGCUGGCCAGGAAAAGCUCCAAGGUGAGGAAUUGAAGCCACCCACUGUCACCAGAGGAGUGCCGCUUCAUUUUUUCUAUAACUUGAAAAGUAGUGAGAGCAAGAUACUUUGAGUAUCAUUUUUUGCGAGGAAACGAUGAGUAGCAAUUUGAUUAGUU